rnacentral:lncRNA from 1 species
UCUAGUCGACUUAACGCACUUUCAGACCCCAUCACAGCUGAAGACAUUGGUCAUGAUGACAAUGUUAAUGAUGAUGAUGUCCUUCCUUAGCUCGAGCCCCAGUCAGUAUCAUCGCCUGCUCCAACGAGCAGUGAACUUAUCAGCAUUGGUUGUCCAUUGAUGCCAAUUGCUCAGGAUGACUCAUGGGCCGAGCGCCCACAGCAAGACACCCCAUUGCAUGAUGAGACACCAAGACACCACCACCUCAAGUCACCACUCUGGUGCUUGACGACGACAACUACAUGGUGCAGACCACUCCCUCACCAAAGGCGUCGCCUGCAUUUCGCAGGCUUCGCAAAGGCCCCAGGCCACAGGUCACUAUGUCGAGCAUUCCGGAAGAGGAAGUGCAACAAAGCUCAGUCGCACGCCAAGUGUUUCCUGAAGCCACCCCUACUGCGAAUGUCUCUGAGUCUGAAGCCAAAGCUGCUGAAGACAUUCCGGCUGCAUUAGCCGAUGAAGAUAAAGAAGAACGAGAAGUAGAAAGAGUUGCCACGCCCCCAGCUACAGAUCAAGUCAUUCUCGAGGAGAAUGUGAUUGUGCCCGACCCUCCUAUUAUUGAACAAACGGAGGUUGAAAACACUGAGGCUGUCACAAACAACCCCACUGAAGCCAAUGACACAGUCAUGGCUGAAGACAAUGUGGAGCCUGAAGCUCGUGAGGAACCUGAAGCUCGUGAGGAUCCUGAAGCUAAUGUGGAUGCUGAAGCCACUGUUCCACCUCCAAGGGCUCACACAAUUGAAUAGGCCUAUGAUCAUGGCCAGCUUGUUACGGUGAGAUGGCCCAUUAUGGUUCCUCCCACAGCUCCUGGACCACAAUAUGACUAUCAUGUGGAGCAGAGGCCUCAAGUACAAAAACCCAAGCCACGACUGCCAAGGCUUCUAGGUGCUGCAACUACACCAGGUUCCUUCAGCGUACACAGCUUCAAAGCACAUAACACCUUCGUUGACAGUGCCAAGAAUUCCUACACGAAGCCAAAGAUCUCUUCCGAUCAUUUUUGGAGCCAUCAGUAGUGAAGCUACUACUCUUGCAUUCUGUACAAUCAAGGGCGAAUCUUUCCUCAUAUGCGUCUAGAUAGUGAAGCUAUUGCUGGGCUGCCCUGUCUUGAAGAAGCGCUUGACUGCUUUUGGGAUGUUGGUCUUCUGUCGUUUGUAACAGACAAAGAGCACUGGAAUGAAGAGCUUCUGCUGCAGUUCUAUGCCACACUUCAUAUUCGCGGCUACAAUAGGGAUCCGAAGACAUGGAUCCUUGAGUGGAUGUCAGGUGAUGUACAUCACGAAGCCAAAGCUCAAGACAUUAUCGAGCUUACUUCCCUGCCCACUCCAAGUGAGUUAUACGUGCCUGGUUGUCAGCGACAUCGAGAUGAACUGCAGAGUAUCUUUCAGAGGCCCGAACCCAAUAUGAGUCAGAUGCUCGGUAUGAUGAAGCCAUUGCCUCAAGAUGAUGAAUACCCAAAGGAAUUCUUCGUCCAAGACCUUGAGUACUUGCCAUGCAUAGUAUACCACAUUCUGAGGUGUACUUUAUGGCCAAUUAAGGGACAUUCUUCUGAAGCUAAGCUUGAAGGAGCCAUGAAGACUUUGGUAUUCUACAUCAUCAAUGGCAUCAGAUUCAACACCCAAGAUUUCUUCAUUAGACAACUUGAUGCGUCUGGGAUUGAUCUGUUUGGCCUGAAGUUCUAUGCUCCAUGGGUGAUGCGCCUAAUCAAGCUCCAUUCCACCGUUGACUAUCAGCCCUCAGCUCGCAACCACAUUGUUUUCCUGCCUGAGGUUGAUAUGUCCAUUGAAGCCAUCUACCCCGAGCCUGCCAAGAAGCCUCUACAUCUUCAGAAUGCUGAACACCAGAGCUUCUCGCAACCAAUGGAGGGAAUUCUUGUCCCCAAUGCUGCAACCCUCGCUUAUCCUCUGGCUGGAAAUAUGAGAGUGCCACAUCGUGCCAACACCGAAGCCACUUCAAGUACGGUUGCCCAAAGGCCUCGAAAGUGUUCUCGUGUACUCAAUGACCGAGAGCUUCUUGUGGCCUUGCAUCAGAAGUAGGAUAAGCAUCACGACUGGCUCAAGCGUUAGAUGCAGAGUAUCUUGGUGGAUGUCAAUCGCAUUCGAAACUUGGCCACCAAGAACUCGUUUGUUGCCCAUGAAGCCUGUCGGCGGUCUUGGAAGAGUCUCACACUACUAUGUCCUGAAGACAAUCUCCGCAUAUGGCUUCACUAAGGACUUCAAGUUUGAUUCCAGGCCUCCACAAAAUGCAAGCUGGCGCCGCACUCCCCCGAUUGAAGAUUCUGAUCGUUCAUCUUCGGCUGCAACUGUUGUUGCGAGAGUCGUCAAUGAAGAAGACGACGCCACUUCACCGACCAUGGCUGCACUGCAUCUCAACACUGCGUCAGGCCCGUCUGCACCACCAAACUCCAAUGUCGACCCUGCCCCCUCUGGGAACGAGUAGAUACUAUAUGUCUUCAAACCUUUUUGGUCAUUACUGACAAAAGGGGGAGAAGCAUAUGAGUUGAUAGUCUUCAAGCAGGUCCUUAUGGGUGGUUGCAUUAUUUUUUCCAAGUCUUUACAACUCUCGUCUUUUGAUACAUUUGGUUCUUUGAGUUGUAACACUUAAACUCGAUGGCUGUUUGCUACUUCUUCUACUACUUUGUGAUGCGAUGAUAAAUCCCGCAUGAAGCCAUUCUGCAGACGUCCAUUUUUUAUUAUGCAUGUCAUUAUCUUCGUUAUCUCCUUAUAUGCAUGAUGAAUUGUCUUCAUAAGUUAAAGAGGAUCUCCACAAGUAAAACCUGCCAUGUGCAUUUGCAUUCAAAAGCAAACUACUUAUAUGCACAUCUUCAGGGGGAGCCUUUUGCUACUUAUGAAGACAAUCCCUUAAUCCUUAACUUUCACAUACUUUUAUCCCCGUUGAAAACUUCAACCUGUUUGUCAUCAAUCACCAAAAAGGGGGAGAUUGUAAGUGCAUCUAGUGCCACCCCAGUUGGUUUUGGAGUAUUGACGACAAACUUGGUUGAGGGACUAAUGUGUUUGUGAGAAUUGCAGGAUAACAUAGGUAGUAGUCCCAUAUUGAUUCGGUUUAUCUACCAGAGAUGACCCCUAAAAAUGUGUGAAGACAUUGAAGACAAUGGUGGUCUGUGAAGAUAUUCACAACGAAGAUUAUGAUUUGAGAAGACAUUCACAUGAAGACUAUGGAGUGCGAAGACAUAGUUGUUUCGUAGUUUCCUUUCUUCUUUGUUGAGUCAUAGGAACCAUCGUAUUGUUAAGUGGGGUCCAAGUGAACAAAGUCAGAGUGACUGAUGUGAUGCUCAACCAAAACCUAUGUCUUCGAGCGAAGACAAUGAGAGCAAAUCUUAUCCAGAAUUGGAUGAGUCAGCUUUACUUGUAGCCCAAGUCAAGCUGCCGCGUGUGUUUGAAAUCUGACCGUUGGACACGUGUCAGUUCCUUAGUGACCCAGGGUCAUUUCGGACAAAUCAGGUCGGGUUGCCUCCUGGCUAUAAAUAGCCCACCCCCUACACCAUAAAUUGGUGGCUGCUCAGAGUUAGUGCACGACUUUUGUCGUUUAAGAGCAACCCACCUCCGGAGCAUUUGAGAGAGAGAUCAUUGCGAGGACAAAGCCCAAAACACCCAGAGCCAAAGAGCGUUAGGCAUCACUGAAGUCUUUCUGUCCGCGUGAUCUGAAGAUUUGUUACACUUAAGGAGUGUGAAUCCUCCAGCCGGUUAGGCGUCGCGUUCUGAGCAUCCAAGAGCCAUUAUGGAUUGCCAGUGAACGAAGUGUGUGAAGGUUUGGAAAUCUACCUUGAAGACUUACCAGAGUGAUUGGGCGAGGACUAAAUGUUCUUAGCUCAAGGGGAAUAAGGUGAAGACUCGGUCUUCUGAGUUGCAUCUCAGCCUCCCUAACCAGACGUACAAUUGUCACAGCAACUGGAACUGGUCUACCAAAUCCUUGUCCUCACUGAGCAACUGGUUCUAUCCCUUACCUCUCUUUACUUUCAGUUGAUCUUCGUAAAGUCAUUUCUUGCUUGCAUGAUCUGAUUGUCUUUACUGUGUGAAGACCAUUUACUGUUUGGCUUCAUACUAUCUUCCAUGCUGAUCCAUACUACCUAGCUGCUGAUAGUCUUCGUGCUUUCACUUCAUUGCUUACUUGACUAUGGCUUGUCUAGUGUAGUCUAUCUUCCACUGCAUAUUAAUAGGUUCAUUUCUACUGUUUGUCUUCGUGCUUUCACUUCAUUGCUUACUUGACUAUGGCUUGUCUAGUGUAGUCUAUCUUCCGCUGCAUAUUAAUAGGUUCGUUUAUACUGUUUGUCUUUAAAGCCCCCGUGUUUUGAAGACUUUCAUAAAAAUCGCCUAUUCACCCUCCCUCUAGUCGAUAACUAGCACUUUCAGUAUGAUGCAUCGAAAUCGCCAAGGAAGGCACUCAAAUUCACCAUGCUCUCGGCCAACACCUCCGUAUAUGUGUAGGGCACAGUUUGGCUACAAAAAUCAACAGCCAAAGCUCAAGCAAGUGUUUUGAAUGACCGAAAGAAACCAAGCAAAAGAAAAAUUCAAUACCUCCCGUCCGUUUCAUCGAAUACGUUGUAGGCGUGGCCGGCGGCUUCGCCGUCAAUGUGGAUGCCAGAGUCAGCUGAAGGCGGAGGAGGAGCCCGACCCCUUGGUGAUCGCCUUCUUCCUCGGGGCCUUCGCCCGCGCAUCGGCGGGGCCGGUGGAGGCGGUCUUCUUCCUCUUGACGCGUGGAACUGGAGCAGGGCCGAAACUCGGUGGUGCCGCGCCGGCUGCGCCGCCUUGAACGAGAUGGCUCCCUUGCCGCUUUCUCUUGAUGGCACCGACNNNNNNNNNNNNNNNNNNNNNNNNNNNNNNNNNNNNNNNNNNNNNNNNNNNNNNNNNNNNNNNNNNNNNNNNNNNNNNNNNNNNNNNNNNNNNNNNNNNNNNNNNNNNNNNNNNNNNNNNNNNNNNNNNNNNNNNNNNNNNNNNNNNNNNNNNNNNNNNNNNNNNNNNNNNNNNNNNNNNNNNNNNNNNNNNNNNNNNNNNNNNGACGCAUGGUAUGGCGCACCCGGGGGCGGCGGGUACUCCAUCCGGCUGAAUUCUGCCGCCACGAGGCCGGAUAGCAAGGUCGGAGGACGGAUUGGCGGCGGCAGGAGGCAGGAACCGAAGCCGACGGAAGUGGGUUUGCGCCAACCGAAAGCGGAUCCGACAAAAUCGGGUGAAAUCCCGUUGCUAUUGAGGAAUUGGGCUCGCGGAUUCGGGAUCCCACAAUUAUUUUUACAGGACAGCUGUAUUUAAAGGAUCUAUUUGGGACGGGUUUAAGAGAUCCAUACCGCAAACCAGUGGUUAUUAUAGCGGACGGCCCGGUUUGCGGGAUCUGCUAGAGAUGCUCGAACUACUUUAUGAUUUAUUUUUUCAAAAAACAACCACUAUUUUCCCUUAGCGCUCCACAUUUCCCCCUUCGCUGCCCGGCUCGACCCAGCCCGGCGUGGUCUUUUCCCUUCUUCAAAAGUGGGCGCGGCAUCCAAAAAGCCUCCCCUCGCUUCCGCUCCCUAAAAAAAAGAAAAAGAAAAAACUCCCCUCUCCCUACACGCGGGCCAGACAGCGGGAAGCCUCUCGAAUUCGCUUUCCACCGCUCAGUGUCCCGCGCGACCCCCGCUCCCAAAAUUCAAACGCCUCGACCGUUUCCUUCCCCACCCCCCUCCCCCUCCCCGGCCAGAGCCAGUGCCAGACCACCAAUUCCACCCCCAACCCCGCAAUCCCCCACACCCAAAACCAAACCCCAGCCGCUAGCUAGCGCGCACGCCACCUCAGCGUGCGCCCGCCGCCAUGGCGCCCGCCGCGAAGAAGCCCCCGCUCAAGUCCAGCUCCUCGCACAACUCCGCCGCGGGGGAUGCCGCCGCCGCCGCCGCCGCGGCCGCCGGGGGGAAGACCAUCGAGGAGAUGUACCAGAAGAAGACGCAGCUGGAGCACAUCCUGCUGCGCCCGGACACCUACGUCGGCUCGGUCCAGAAGCACACGCAGCCGCUCUGGGUCUACGAGGGCGGCGCCAUGGUGCAGCGCCCCGUCGCCUACGUCCCCGGCCUCUACAAGAUCUUCGACGAGAUCCUCGUCAACGCCGCCGAUAACAAGCAGCGCGACCCCUCCAUGGACUCCCUCAAGGUGGACAUCGACGUCGGCGGCUGCUGCAUCUCCAUCUACAACAACGGGGACGGCGUGCCCGUCGAGAUCCACCAGGAGGAGCGCAUCUACGUGCCCGAGCUCAUCUUCGGCCACCUCCUCACCAGCAGCAACUACGACGACAACGAGCGCAAGACCACCGGCGGGAGGAACGGCUACGGCGCCAAGCUCGCCAACAUCUUCUCCACCGAGUUCGUCAUCGAGACCGCUGAUGGCCGCCGGCAGAAGAGGUACAGGCAGGUAAGACAAUCAUUGACCCCGUGACCGUUUUACUGCUGCUAUUCUGGUUUUCGGGUCGGUGUUUGGGGCUGGAUUAGUUAGAUCUGGAGGCAUCUAGCGAAUCGAUGUGCCAUGUGACUCUAACGAGGUGCGGCUGGUUGUGACCACACUAGAGUUGAGGAUCUGGUGGUACUGGAGUGCGAGACCGUACUUCUUAUGUUUGUUGUUUAAUUGGACAAACGGAUGGAGAUUCUGCAGGGUUGGUUCAAAGUCUCUCGUCUGUACAACCUGCUUGCAUACGUUUUUUUAAUUAUUACUAAUCCGAAUCUUGUUUCCUUUGAUAGUUUAUAGCAUUGCUCAGUAUGGUUUACCAUGUAUAUGCACAUCAGUUUAAAACUACUAGGAAGACACAUAGCUAAUUUAAACUGACUACUAGGGUUGUAGUCUGUACACUCACUAUUAACUGCAGGAUUGGUACACCCAAUAGUUGUAUAUUAACUAAUGUCUCCUGAAAGUUCUUUAGGCACAGCCACCCUAAUUACCAAGCGCAUCAUACAUUGUGACAUUCCUCCUUGAAUGCAUGUGCAGGUUUUCUCUGAUAACAUGGGGAAGAAGUCGGAGCCCGAGAUUAAGAAGUGCAAGCAGUCAGAGAACUGGACCAAAGUUACCUUCAAGCCUGACCUUGCAAAGUUCAACAUGACCGAGCUCGAAGCUGAUGUUGUGGCACUCAUGAUGAAGCGAGUAGUUGAUAUGGCCGGCACCCUUGGCAAAACGGUGAAGGUUGAGUUGAAUGGCGAGAAGGUGGCAGUAAAAGGCUUCUCAGAUUAUGUGCAACUGUAUAUCGACUCUGCUUCUAAAGAAGGCAUGGAGCUACCAAGGUUUGAGAAAGUUUUUUUCUUACCAGUUUGAGCAUCUCCAUGGAAAUCUCUGACAAGCACUAUUUCUGAUGCUCAAAUUUGCCUUCCUUUCAGAAUUUACCAAAAGGUAAAUGAUCGUUGGGAGGUGUGUGUGAGUCUAAGUGAAGGCCAGUUCCAGCAGGUAAGUGUGGGCUAGUUUCCUGUGAAGCUCCUCUGUAGUGUGUUGUUACAGUUAUUCCUCAUACAUUCUGUUUGGAUUGCAGGUCAGUUUUGUAAACGGUAUUGCGACCAUAAGAGGAGGAACUCACGUUGACUACGUCGCAAACCAAAUUGCCAGCCAUGUGAUGGGCGUUGUGAACAAGAAGAACAAGCAGGCUAACAUGAAGUUGCAUACAGUGAAGGGCUACCUAUGGGUAUUUGUUAAUGCGCUGAUUGACAACCCUGCAUUUGAUUCACAGACCAAAGAGACCUUGACGACUCGUCAAGCAAGCUUUGGGUCCACAUGCGAGCUCUCUGAAGAGUUCCUUAAGAAGGGUAUGUGAUGAGUUAACUUUGCUAUCCUUGAUGUGUAUUGUGGAUGCACCACUAAUGAUAAUGUUCACUUCUUACAAUUGCAGUCUCUAGCUCGGGUGUUGUUAGCAAUCUCCUUUCUUGGGCCGAGUUCAAACUAAACAAGGAACUAAAGAAGACUGAUGGAACCAAGAAGACAAGUAUUGUUGGCAUCCCUAAGCUGGAGGAUGCAAAUGACGCUGGUGGGAAGAACUCUGACAAGUGCACCUUGAUCCUUACUGAAGGAGAUUCAGCAAAGGCUCUAGCUGUGAGUAACACGAAACUAUUAAAUGCCAUAGCAUACAGUUUCACUGUCAUACUGAAGAGUUCAGCCUGUUUUCUCUGCAGAUGGCUGGUAUAGGUGUAGUAGGAAGGGACCACUAUGGCGUGUUUCCUCUCAGGGGUAAAUUAUUAAAUGUGAGAGAAGCAAGCCAUAAGCAGCUAAUGGAGAAUGCAGAGAUCCAGAAUAUAAAGAAAAUUUUAGGUCUGCAGCAUGAAAAGAAGUAUGAUAGUACAAAGGGCUUGAGAUACGGCCACCUAAUGAUAAUGACAGAUCAGGUUUGCCUGACAACGUCUCCAAUUUAUCUCAAUUAGUCAAAGUGAAGUUGUUUCUUGGCUUAGAUUGAACUGAUGAAAUUUCAGGACCAUGAUGGUUCCCACAUCAAAGGGUUGCUGAUCAAUUUCAUUCACAAAGAGUGGCCAUCUCUCCUCAAAGUUCCUUCUUUCUUGGUUGAGUUCAUCACUCCAAUUAUCAAGGUAGGCAAUUCUUUUGGUCGUUGUCAAAUGUAUUUGUGUGUGUUAAGAUACACAUUAAUACAUAUUAAAUCCUAAUAUUUAUCAUUCAGUUUUUUAUAUUUCUCCCUGCCGAUCAAAUUGGUAUUGUCACUCCAGUAAAAAAAUAAUGCUUUCGUUAAUUUGUCCAGGCAACCAAGGGCAAAGCUGUCAAGUCAUUUUACUCUAUGCCAGACUAUGAAGCAUGGAAAGAGAGCUUAGGUGGAAGUGCAAGUUCGUGGACUAUAAAGUACUACAAGGUGCGCCUUUUGCCCCUUAUUCAGUUCUUGCAUGGUUUCGCAAAAUUUGGUGUUUCCCCCCUUAUUUUUACUGGAAGGAGCUAUAACAAAGAUGGCUGUAGUUAUUUUUUGGUUUUGAUAAGAGUUUUGACUGGUACAGGGGCUGGGAACCAGCACAGCUCAAGAAGGUCGGGAUUACUUUGAAGAUAUUACCCAUCAUAAGAAGGAUUUUGUCUGGGCAGAUGACAAAGAAGAUGGUGAGGCUAUUGAGUUAGCAUUCAGCAAGAAAAAGAUUGCUGAGAGGAAGGACUGGCUGACCAACUAUCAGGUUUAAUAUUUGCAUCAUUUCCCUGUUUGAAACAAGUCCCUUAUUCUGUAUCAAUAGUAACACACAAACCAUAUUGCAGCCUGGAACUUGCCUUGACCAACGGGAGAAACGCAUCAAGUACAGUGAUUUUAUCAACAAAGAGCUGAUACUCUUCUCGAUGGCAGACCUUGAACGGUCAAUACCUUCAAUGGUCGACGGCUUUAAACCAGGACAGAGGAAGAUUUUGUUUUGCUCGUUCAAGAAGAAUUUGGUUAAAGAAUCAAAGGUCUGCCAAAGAGUUUUUGAAUUUGUGUAUUGGAAUCAUCAUGCAUGUUCCUUAAUUUGUUACCGUUAUUGGCUACAGGUGGCACAGUUUAUUGGUUAUGUGUCAGAACACUCAGCAUACCACCAUGGUGAGCAGAGUCUAGCAAGCACAAUUAUAGGAAUGGCUCAGGAUUUUGUUGGCAGCAAUAAUAUCAAUCUUUUGGAGCCCCGUGGCCAGUUUGGUACCAGAAAUGCGGUGGGUUAGCUUUUGUUAAAGCCAAGUACCAUAUGACUCUGUUUGUAACGGGUUCUCAUGCUUCUUUGCUUGUUUACAUUCAUUUCAGGGGGGCAAAGAUGCUGCUAGUGCUAGGUACAUCUUCACCAGAUUGCAACCUAUCACCCGCUUAAUUUUUCCAAAGGAUGAUGAUGUUCUUCUGAACUAUUUGAAUGAAGAUGGGCAGUCAAUUGAACCCAGUUGGUAAUAUAUAUAUUAUCUCUUCGAACAUUCAUCCUGCCAAUUAUGAUUGCAAUUCAAUUCAUUUUUGUGUACCUAAAAUAUGCCAUGUUAUGUUCAGGUAUAUGCCAAUCAUUCCCAUGGUUUUGGUCAAUGGAAGUGAAGGCAUUGGCACUGGAUGGAGCACCUAUGUCCCAAACUACAAUCCAAGAGACAUUAUUGCUAAUCUGAAAAGGUUGCUAAAUAACGAGACUAUCGUACCAAUGGUUCCUUGGUACAGGGGGUUCAAGGUCUGUGCAAUGCUUUUACUAGCAUAUUUCUGUUACAUUGACAGUUUGACUGCUUUAAUGCAACAAAUGAUUUUGAUGCAAAAUUUUGUUCAUCACCUGACAGGGCUCUUUGAAGGAGACAAGUUCAAAGGCAACUGGUGUGACAUAUACCAUCACUGGUGUUAUAGAGGAAGUUCCUGACACCAGGCUUAAAAUUACUGAGCUUCCUGUCCGCCGCUGGACUACAGAUUACAAAGAGUUUCUUGAAUCCAUGUGUCCUAUUCCUAUUAAGGAAAAGGAAAAGAGCAAGGACAAGAACAAGGAAAAGAAGAAGGACAAGGACAAGGACAAGGAAAAGGAAAAGGAAAAGAGCAAGGAGCCACCAUUGUUAGAGGUAGUUAAUUGUACAAAUAGUUCAUUCUCUUGGGGUUUCAGAUGUUUUGACUUUCUUGAACUGAACCAAUUUACAGGAAAUAAGGUCGCAGUGUGAUCAUGCGGAUGUAGAUUUUGAGCUCAUCCUGACGGAGCAAAACAUGAAUAUAGCUAAGCAAGAAGGCCUUGAGAAGAAAUUCAAGCUGACUACCACAAUAGGAACAACAAACAUGCACUUGUUUGACUCAAAUGGUAAAAUCCGAAAAUAUGACACCCCAGAGGACGGUGAGUAUAUCUAACAUGGACCUGUAUUAUAGUUACAAGUCUUUUUUCGUGUGGUUUUGUCACUGAAAUUAUGUUAACUUUGCAGUACUUAAAGAGUUCUUUGACUUGAGGCUCGACUUCUAUGUCAGACGAAAGGUACAUGUUGACCUUUUCCUUUGGUUGUUCAUUUACAAACUACUGUAAUAACUAACUAACAUAUGCUGUGCAGAAACUGACUUUUUCCUUUGGUUGUUCAUUUACAAAGUACUGUACUAACUAUGUAACAUAUGCUGUGCAGAAAGUAAUGUUGGAAAACAUGGGGAUUGAGUUGCUGAAGUAUAAGAAUAAAGUUAGGUUUAUUCUCGCUGUUAUUUCUGGGGACAUCAUAGUCAAUAACAGGAAGAGGGCAGAGCUAUUCCAGGAGCUGAAGCAGAAGAAAUAUGAUCCUUUCCCAAAGAAAAAACCCACGGCCGAGCCAGUAGCUGUAGGAUCUACAGAAGUAGAUGAAGAAAAUGAUGAGAGUCCUGCUGAAGCUGCAGCAAGUGAUUAUGAGUAUCUUCUCGCAAUGUCAAUUGGUACCUUGACUAUGGAGAAGGUGAAGGAGCUCAUUGCGCAGCAGGAUAAGGUAGAGGAAGAUCUGAAUAUCCUGAGUAAUACAGAGCCAAAUACUCUUUGGCUGAGAGACCUUGAUGCUCUUGAGAAGGAACUGGAUGUAAGUUGUGUUUCUCUCUAUUGUUAUGUUUUCUUUUUCCUCUUGAGCAGGUUUUGCUUGACGUCAUGUGUUUCACUGCUCUUCUCACUCACUGACUUUGAUACAGGUGCUUGAUGCAAAACUUGAAGCUGAACAGAAUGACAGAUCACGUAAGCGCGCCAAAAACGCGAAGGAAUCUAAUGCAGCACCCAAGAGACAGCCUAAGAAGGCUGCGGCCAAGUCUCAGAAGGUACAGAGUAACACAAGCGAUACAUUUCUUGAAUUGCAGAGGACUAGGCAGUACCUGUUGCUCUUUACUGAUAAAACAAUCAAAUUUUCAAGGCAAAUUUGGCUGGGAGCGACGAUGAAGAUUUUGAACCACCGAAUCCGAAACCUGCAGCGCAAAAGAAGAAACCACCACCCAAGAAGGUUGGUUCCUUGAUCAAGCCUUUUCUCAUUGUGUGUGGCAUAGUUUAUUUUUGCUGCUUUAACAAGUCAAUUUAACAAUUUCAUAGGCAAGUGCACCGGUGAAAGAUGAAGAGGACGACGAAUUGGCUGUUCUCAAAGACCGUCUGGCUGCUUAUAAUCUUGAGGACUCCUCUCCAGAACCUAAUGGUAAUGGCCACUGACAUAAUGUUGCGUUUGUGAACAUAAGAUAUCCAUAUUUUAGAAGUUUAAGCUGAUGGCGUAACCACUUGUGCAGCCAUGGAAACAGAACAGCAGCAGAAAGGAAAGAAAGGGAGGAACGGACCAAGCAAGAGAGGCGCAGCGAAGAAGGCCAUGUCAUCCCUAGCCGAGUCCUCUGAUGAAGACAUGGCAGAGCCCCGCCAUGAGAGCGAGGGUGGGGGGUCUUCCAUGGAAGUUGAGAAGAAGACCAAAGGAAGAAAGCCUGCUGCCGAGAAGCCGAAGGCUACCACCAUCAGGAAGAGGGCGCCAGCUCAGAGCAAAGUCAUGAAGCAGAAAGUGAUGGAGGAAAUAUUCAAGCCUACCGAUGACAGCAACCUCAGUGCUCCUUCACCCGAGAAGAAGGUGCGGAGGAUCAGGUCCUCCCCCUUCAACAAGAAGAGCGGCUCGCUUCUGCAGAGAGAGGCGGGCGCUUCAACAGGGGCAGAGGAUGCCGAGGCUCCUCCCUCCGGCAGCUCUGCCGAGCCAGUUGCACCGAGGAGGACAGUAAGGGAGAGGAAGGUGGCGAUAGUCUACGCCGAUUCCGGGAGCGACGAUGAUGAGGAGUCCGAGGAUGAAGAUGCGUCGGAGCCGAGCGAAUCUGACUACUCCGGUGAGGACUAGAGUACUAGACUCCUUAGCUCAGCUGCUCAAACAGAGUGUGGAAUUGGAGUGCAGUGUGACUAGUUUCUAAGACAUUUGGUUAGCUAAUAUGAUGUGUUGGUGUGCUCAGGUGCAUUUCUUGUGCGUCUUGUGUUUAUGUUAGAUGUGUGUACUCAGAUCAAAACAAGGUUUGGAAGCUAUGUGUUGUUGCUUACAGUUUCUCCAUGGCUUCUGUUCCUUGGUCUGUGAGCUUGCAUCAUUGUUCAGUCUAUCAAUACUGAGAGUUUAUUUAUAUCUUCUAGAGUCAUUUUUUUCAUUAUUCGCUUUCUUUUUAUUCAGUUGUGAGCUUGCAUUGCGAUGGCCUUAUUCUCAGUAUUUCCACACAUAUCAUAUUUUUCCUUUAAGUGGGAUUGAGUACAUGUAGAUAUGGUCAUUCAGUCUAAUACCUCAGUCUUUUAGCUCCUCAUUUUUCAGUUUUUAGUCUUCAUGACCGAUGAACAAAUCAUGGAAAAUCAUGGGAUUGAGCACAUUUCAAUGCAUUCCAAACCACACUGUUUAUCAAAACGAAUGGAGAAGAAGCAAUCCACAUAGCACAUGCAAUUCAGGUUCGUAACAGAAAACCCAAAAAAAAACCCAUGGACCCAUGGUUUCCAGGUCAUCUCGGCCGCCGAAUCCAAAAACCACAGGAACAGCAAGAGCUGCUUCUUGUAACCACAUAACUUUCCAAUUGUGUCGAGGAAAAACCCUUGCCCUGCUAGCUGACGACAUUUUCCAAGACAAGAAAAACAUUGCGUGACAUUCUAGGUUUCAUGUAGCUGACUCAAGCAUUUAAGCAAGCAAUAACAGAAGUACGCCUGAUAUGCUAAACAGAAAUACAGUUCGCGCUCAACAUGAUCAGGAUGAAUUCGACAUGAGAACCACAGUCAGACAUGGUAGCUUGCACGAUUCGCACUUAAACUACAUAACAGAUAAGAAACCAACUCAAGAAACUGAAAUACAGAUUCGCUAGCCACAUUAUCAUGAUGAACUGAACGAGGACAACCACAACUGAUCACAAUUGACUUGCACCCUUCAUGCUUAAAACUCCUCAACAGAAACAAAACACAACCUGGUAUUAGUAGCUUGGAUGGAAGAAGCCAAUGGCAGCAGACUAAAGAUGAUGGGUUUGCCCAUUUUGCAAUUCAUCACUAUUGAGCGGCACAUCAGAGAUCAGUGGGUCUUCGAUAGCGCCAACAAUAUGCCACGAUCUGAAAAAAAAAUACAAAGCAGAAAACUCUUAACCAACUGUCCAUCUCAGACUUUAUAAUUUGACGUGCGGCUGUAUGUAUAACUAGUUCCAAAGGUUACAGGACUGCAUUUGACAUGUGAGCUUCAGCUAUACCAGAAAGUAAUUUAAUGCAUCUUAACGAAAAAUUUGACAUGUGAGCUUCAGCGGUAAAGUGAUACUCUUUUUUAACAAUGCAAUAUCAACAAGGUUGAAUAAAUAUUUAGCAAUCUCUUUUUUAACCAAGGUUGACAAAAUACUUAGCAAUCUCUAUUUGAACCUAGCAUGCACUUCAUGCUUCACCAACUAUUUGACCAAUCAACAGCAGUAGCAAAAAAAGAGACAUUUUAUUCCAGGGGUAAUGUUGCAUAUAUAUAAUAGCACAGAAGAAUAACCGGACCUGAGUCCACAAUUGAAAAAAUGGCUACAAAAACAAGAGGUGACUUAUUUUAUGACAGGACAUCCCAACAUCAGUUUCCAAGUUUUUAGUAAAAGUGAAAAACAUCCGAGUUCCACACCUGUUAGAAUCUACUCCCUCCGUCCCAUAAUAUAAGAGCGUUUUUGACACUACACUAGUGUAAAAAAUGCUCUUAUAUUAUGGGACGGAGGGAGUAUUUACAAAUGCUAAAUGCUUUGUGGUGAAACUAAGUUCCUUGUCCACCAAUUGUUUUUCCAAGAAGUCUGGUACUGCUACUUGACAUAUCUUUUAAAGACAAGAUCAACAUUGAAGUCAUACUAAAAUUUCAUGAAAGGGAGACGACAUAGAUUACACAUAAUUUCUGUUCCAAGUAGCUGAGCCAAGAAUUAGGCAAACAGCAGCUGAAAUAUGCCUCAUGUAUUAAGCUGAAAUACAACCUUUUGACAUUAUGAUCAGGACGAAUUCAACAAGACAACAUCAAUUGAUUGCAAGGACUUGCACAGUUUGUAAGUAAACUGUUGAACAGAGAAUAAACGACUUCACACUUCAUAAUAGCAGCUCUAAAAGAAACCAGCAGCACACUUUGAUCAGCUAAUCCGUAUUAGCGAUAACAAUGUGCCAUGAUUUAAAAUAUAUCAUGUACAAAACUCAUAACCAACUCCAAGUCAGCAUUUUACUUUGGUGAGCUAUAUGCUAGUACCAAUUUCAAUGGUUACAAUACUGGGUUUGAGAUGUGACCUUCAGCUAUGCCACAAAAUAAGAGAUGGUUAUUUAUAAGAAAGUCUGAGUGAAGGUACUAGGAUAGUACGAGACCAACAUGUUUGUGUACAUAUUUAGCAAUUCGACCAAUGCAUGGUCAUGGUCCUUCACAUGUCAAAUCUCAUAUCAUAAACUACAUUAUGUUUGCCAGCGUCAUAUAUUAAGUUUUCUCUAUCACAGAGAAUUGUCCUUGGCAAGAUUCAUAUGUGAAUAUAUAUAUAACAAACAUAUAUUACUUUCACUACGACUAAUUGUUCACAACCAACUAAAUAAGCAAACAUACAGAAGCCGUAACGAAAAUGCAAGACAAUAUACAAGAAGCAAGGUCUAGCAGCAAUACCUGGAGUGUAGAAGCUCAUGUAGGGUAGGACGCUAAAGUACUGUGCGGGCUCAUCAACCUUCCUGACUCGCCCUGACUUCAGCUCUAGAGUGAAUAAGCCAGCAUCUGUGUUUAUGAAGAUGACACCCACACCCUCUGCGGAACCAACCACAAAUGGUUGGUAAUCUGGAUCCACAACGGGCACAAUUGUCUCCAGCUCGAUGCUCCUGCAUUUUACCCAUUCAGCAGCUGCUUCUGAAUUCACCUUCCUUGACCACAUAUAAAGACUAGAACUCUCAGUGCAGGCAAACCCCAGCGAACUGUCCUCCAUCACCAUGAGAGCAAUUGGGCUCCUAGUGUGUGGCGGCGGGUUAAUCAUGGAUAAGCAGUUGUUUGGCAAGUCGUACUUGACGAUUUUGUGAGCAGACCAAAGCGUGAAGUAGACCUCAUCUCCAAUGACGGCUACUCGGCGAGGCAUGACAUAGGGUAGGUGGUGGAGGUUUUCUGCAAUGUCAUCUCGCAUGUGCUGGGCAUAGCAUUCGCAACCAUCGUCGAGAGAUACUGGCGCACUCCACGCACCUGUCACCGACGAGUACACGCUCGCCUUAACGAUACGGUCGUCGUCGUCGGUGGCCAGGAAGGCCACGCGGAAGGGGCCGCCUUGGCAGUCGAGAUGUUGGCAGCCAUCGGCGGCGCAGAAGACCGCGGCGGUGCAGAUGAGCCAGACGAUGCCCGGCGCGGGCAGGACGUGCCGGUCGCCCGUGACGGGGUCCGAGACGACGAAGACCAGGCGCUCGUCCUGCACCAUGUGGAUGAGCACGCGGCCGUGGCGGCAGUCGAGGGGAACGGGGUGCUUGCCCUGGCCGUCGGAGUCCGGGUAGGGGAAGUCCGGCAUCGAGGUGGUGGAGGUGAAGCGGGGCGCGGGCCUUUCUUGGAGGACCUGGAACUGUUGGAGGAGGCCGAGGAGGGGAGGGGCUCCGUGGAAAGCGCGGUAGCGGCGGCGGAAGGAGGGGUCGCAGACGACGCGGAGCCACGACUUGCAGACGAGGGCGGCGCGGAAGAGGUGCUCGGGCUCAGAAGGAGGAAGGAGGAGGAGGACUUUAAAAAAUCGCCGACGAGCUCGUCCAUCAGCUCCGGCGGUGGGGCCGUGGUGCCGUCGGCGGAAUUAGGGAUGGCACCCGCAGGUAUGGGUACGGGUGGAGCUACCCGAUACCUUUACCCGUCCGCCCUGAUUUUACCCAUCAUUUAUACCCAUACCUGUCAAGGGUACAAUUUUUCUUCAUACCCGUUACCCGACAGGGUAUAUGCGCGGGUAAUAAUGCGGAGUAGAAAAUAGUUGUAAAAAGCAACAUACGAUCAAAUUAUUAAUAGCAACAUAUUUUAAACAACAAUGUACAACAACAUAUUCUCAUAAACAAAAAUACUUGCCUAUAAAGUGACAUAUAAAAAUGUUAAACAAGAGCACAUAAUCAUAAAUAACAACACAUAUGCAUACACUUUAAGUUCACGAAAUCAUGAUAAAUUAUAGAGAUAAUUUGAAUAUACAUUAGAGUUUUUACCUAACGUGAUUAGGAGGGGAAAUAAAUACAUUGGGAUAUUAACGGAAACCCACCUGUCAACAUUUUAGAUGGUACAUGGGUACACGGGCAUAGGUUAUACGAUCCCAUACCCGUACCCUCUCUACCCGAUGGGCAUGAUAUUUUCCCAUUUAAGUAUGCAUGAGUAAUUUUUUAUCCCAUAUCCUUACCCUAAUAGGGUUUUUACCCACAGGGUACACGGAUAAUGGGUACCCAUUGCCAUCCCUAGCCGGAAUGGGUGGGAGGCGCCGCCGGGUCGGUGGGUCGGGGAGGAGGCGAAGAAGCGAGUGAGAGCGUGAGACGGCCCGCUCUACUUGGUUCGGCUCGACCAGGUCUGGGCCGCGUGUGGUCUCGCUCAAUAGAAAAUCAUAAGACCUCCUAGUCUGCCGGGACGGAAUUUCCUAUUGGACGCUCGUUGCGUCAAAGUGUCGCUCUUUCGCACAGACCUAGCGAUCGAGGGAUGUCAUGGGCCAGCCCAUUUAACGUGUUUGCAGCGUUUCUGGUUUUGAGAACCUUCUAGAGUGGACUCAAAAAAGGGAACCUUCUAGAGUAACCCAGACGGUUUUUUCUGGUUUUUGGAAUCUUCUAGAAGGUUCCUGAACCGGCCUUUUCUUUUUCAGUUUCUUUUUCGUUUUUUGUUUUUCUGUUUCUCUUCUUUUUCGUUUUUUCUGUUUCUUUCUUUUUCCUUUUUUGUUUUACUUUUUUAUUUUCAAGUUUAUUUUUCUUUUUCAUUUUUUUCGAAAUUUCAAAUACUAUUCAGAAUUUCAAAAAUGUCCCUGGUUUUCAAAAAUUGUUCAUAAUUUCGAAAAAUGUUCGUGGUUUCAAAAAAUGUACCUGUUUUUCAAAAUUUGUUCACAAAUUCAAAAAAUGUUCCCGUUUUCAAAAUUUGUUCACCAAUUCAAAAAAUGUUCGUGGUUUCAAAAAAUUUGUUCCGAAUUCCAAAAAAAGUUCCUGUUUUUUAAAUUUUGUUCACAAAUUCAAAAAAUGUUCAGAAUUUCAAAAAAUAUUUUAGUUUUGAAGAUUUGUUCACCAAUUCAGAAAAAAGUUCAUGUUUAAAAUAAUGUUUGCAAUUUCAAUAAAUGUUCCCAUGUUUCAAAUUUUGUUCGCAUUUCCAAAAAAUCAUACAAUACAAAUUUUGUUUGUAUUAAAAAUGUUCUGUUUUAAUUUUUUUUCUGAACUUAAAAAAUGUUCAUGUUUUCCAUUUUUGUUCAGUACUUAAAAUCUGUUCGUGAUCUCUGGGAAUAUUCAGAAAUUUGAAGAAAGGUUCACAUUUUUUCGUAAUUUGUUUGUUUUUUCAGAAAUGGUUAAACUUUUAUUUUUUUUGCGUUUUAGAAAACUGUUCAGGAUUUGUUCGUGUUUAAUUUUUAAAGUGGAAUGUCAAAAAAUCUUUACUUCUAAAAAAAGGAAUAUAAUGAAAUCACGACAUUUCAAAACUGCUCGCAAUUUUUAAGAAAUGUUUUUUCAAAUCUCAAUGCUUUCUGUGCGGUCUUAUUAUAUUUUGCACCUCUUAUAGCCAGCUGUUGUUGUUUGGUACUGGCGAAGGGCUCGCUGUCUGUUGCAUGAGGUUCCGGGUUCAAAUACCGUCAGUCUCUAUUGUUUUUAUGCCCUUUUUAUGUCGCGCGACAGGAAUCAGAUUGGGCCGGCCCAGUAGCGCGUUUCCACUGUGCGUCGAGCUGCUGUGAAAAUACCCCCUGCGGGGACCUCCAAUACCCCCCUAUUUGCCGCACCAUGCAGAAAAUUGUCGGGGCUUCGCACAUGGCGACCGCAGCUGGGCCGACACAUUUGCUUUUUAUUUUUUUCUGUUUCUUUUCUUUCCUUGUUUAUUCUUUUUGUCGAUUUUAAUUCUCGUUUUGAAAAAAUGUUCACACAUAUAAAAAUGUUUGUAAUUUUAUAAAUUUAUCAAAUUUCCAAAAAGUGUUCUUGUUUUCAACUUUUGUUUAGAAUUUUCGAAAAAUCUUCAUAAAUUCAACAAAGAUUAGAAUUUAAAAAGUAUUCGCUUCUUUUUAAAAAAGUUCGAAAUUAAAAAAAUGAAUUUAAAAAAUGUUUGCAUUUUUUUCACAAAUUCAAAAAAUGUUGCUGUUUUAGAAAUUUUCCUACAAAUUCAGAAAACAAUCAUGUUUUCACAAGAAAUUCUAAAAUUCAUAAAUUGUUUGGGGAAUUUCAUAAAAUAUCCUUGUCAAAUAUAUUGUUCGUAAUUUCAAAAAAUGUUUGCGUUCCGGGAGCGACAAUGAGGAGUCCGAGGAUGAAGAUGCAUCGGAACCGAGUGAAUCUGACUACUCCGGUGUAGACUAGUGCACUAGACUCCUUAGCUCAGCUGCCCAAACGGUGUGUGAACAUGCAGUGUGACUGGUUUCUAAGACAUUUGGUUAGCUAAUCUGAUGCAUUGGUGCUUUGCUCAGGUGCAUCUCUUGUGCGUCAUAUGUUUAUGUUAGAUGUGUGUACCGAGAUCACAAGAACGUUUGGAAGCUAUGUGUGUUGCUUACAGUCUCUCCAUGGCUUCUGUUCCUUGGUCUGUGAGGUUGUAUCAUUGUUCAGUCUAUCAAUAUUGGGAGUUUAUUUAUAUCUGUCUUAUUCUACAGUCCUUUUUUCAUUAUAUAUUAAGUUUAUUUUUAUUCAGUUGUGAGCUUGCAUGGCGACGGCCUUAUUCUCAGUAUUUUCACAUAUAUCAUAUUUGAGUAUAUGUAGCUAUGGUCAUUCAGGUUCACUCAGUCCAGUACCUCAGUUGUAGCUCCUUAUUUUUCUUCAGUUUUCAGUUUCCAGUCUAGUGCGGCAAUGAUUAUGAAGGCAGUCUAUCCUUCAUUUUGGAAUUGACAAAAAAAGCAGCGCACCCAGAGUUAGGCCACUCUUUUCUUUUGGAAGUUUGAAUUUUCUUUUUGCAGAUGAUGAUUUUCAAUUGCACCGCCGGUGAAUUUCAAGUGCAACCAGAUUGUAAAUCAGUCACCUACUCACCUCGGCCGAUUUUGUACACGAUGAAAGGAAACUAUCCUUUGCUUUCUAUCCUAAAUAUAAGUAUUUUUAGAGAUUUCAAUAUAGACUACAUACGGAGCAAAAAUAGUGAAUGUACACUCUAAACUAUGUCUAUAUACUGUAUGUAUCCAUUGAAAUCUUUAAAAAAACUUAUAUUUAGGAACGGAUGGAGUAUAAAGCAGGGCAAGAUAAUUAGCAGACCUUUUUGACUAGGCAGGAAAGAGAAGUGCGGGCGCAACAGAAGUGUGACAAUAGCCAUUUCAUGAUAGAACGCCGAAUCCUCUUCCAAAUAAUCAAUUGGGAAUAAAUGAAAAGGUAAAAAAUGAUUAGCUGGUGUAAUCUUGUUGGGCGUUGCCAACUAGACGCGGUUCAAACAUUGUAUAAUUAAACCAUGCGCCAAACAACUCUACUCUAUCAUCUCCGACAGCAACCCGACAUGAUAUACGAACGAAAAAAACACUUCCAGAACAUAGUUAAAACACAAGCCAGCAUAGAUAAAAUCAAAACAAAACAAUCAAUCGUAAAUAAUCUACUUGAUACAAAGGAGUUAAUCUCACGAGCGAAGAACGACGCUGUUAGCCUCUAGUCUCUAUCAUGUGUUCUGUAGUCCUUCCCUGGAACAUUCUUCUCUUCAGGAAGGACGUGGGAUAAUGUUGGGAUACAAUAUUAGCAUCUGGUCCCACCGGUUAGUAUCUGUAACCCUUCAACCAACCAUGCCACAUUCUUUCUUUCCACCACGCGCACUAUAUUUCCGCGGACGACCAGUUCGUUUUGUUAACCAGCUAAUCAAGGGGGAAGAAGCGGGUCACAGCUUAUAGUGCGCCGUAACCUGCCACGGCAAGCAAUGGACAUGUUCUCGACCAAUCCCAAGACGUCAUCUCAAAGCAAAAGUCGCCCAGCCAAAUUCCUACCCCGGACGAAACUUUCAGCAGCUGCUAUACCUAAGAAGCCACAGCCAUUAGAGAACGCAUACAUUGCCAAAUCGCGACAUCAUCGAACCGUAAAAUAACUCAGCAGCAAGGCGUCGCACGCAAAAGACUCGGGCGCCGCUCGCGAUGUGUUGUGAUGUGACGUGACGACAGAUAACGCUGUGUAUUAGGAUAGGAUUGAAUUUGCCAUUAGCGUUGGUUGUGAGAAGGCGACAUGUGCGUAUUUUAGGAGAUCAUUCAUUCAGUAUUCUGGGAAAACUAGCAUGCAACUGACGGUCUUGAUUGACGCAGAAAUGGUAUGCAUGUGAUCUGCGCCGUCCGCCUGAAUUGAUGAUCUUCUACUUAUUUCUUUCCCUCCAACUGGCGUGCAACUACUACUGCUUACCAUUUCAAUCCGCGUGGGGCUGGCUGAGGAUGGAGGAGCUCGGUCGGUAUAAAAUGGCCCACUCAACCAAUCUCCCGACCCCUAGAGGCGAGAGGCUGAGAGGUCAAGAGUAGGCUGAACCCGCCCACACACACCCAUUCCUCACCAACCCCACCUCUCGACUAUCACCUCACGAUCAUGGGCAGUUCACGGGUGGAAGGCCUCAUCCCCUUCAUCUACAAGGCCAUCAAGGAGCACCGCCGGAGCAGCAGCCGGGCCGCCUACCGGGGCGCGGAGGCGGAGGACGACGUGGACCUCGGCGACACGGACCAGAGGCGGCGCUGGCUGGAGCAGGAGCUGCGGUCACCGCUCAACGCCGCCGCCGCCCCGGCGUCGACACAGGCGCACGGGCGGAACCGGUCGCUGGAGGAGCUGGCCGGCCAGGUGGGGCUCUCGCCGGGCCGGCGGCUGCCGCUGCCCAAGGCCAGGAGCGUCCGCGCCUUCGCCUGCAUCGGCGCCGGCGCCGCGUGACCGCCGAACACGUACGUGCUUAGUGCUUACGCGUACGCCGUAGUCCGGUAGAUGCGUACUUUGGAUUCAUGCUUUGUGGGUCAAGUGCAGUAGUAGUGCAAGUUUUGGUUGAAGCUGUGCAUACGUACGAGUGAUUCAGUAAUAUAUAUGGCAGGAGUUGGAGAUUGUAAACCAACACAUACUUCUCGUUUCAAUUUUGUUUCUCAAAUCCUCGUGUUAUUCUUAGCACCACCACUUGGCUUGAUAUAUUGCUGAGAAAGGUUGCCUCAUCUUCUUCUUUUUUUCCAGAAAACGUUGGUUCCAACCAAGAUAUAUUGCCGGAUGUUGUUGCCUUUUCUUAUGAUGAAAUCUAUGUGUAACAAUAGUAAUCAUUUAAAAUUCAGAAUGGUACGGACCAUGACAUAACAAGCGAAAAUCAAACCUGAUUAAUUAGCUUCUUCUUCGGCAAAAACAAACAUAAUUAUUUGUAUUUUUUUGCGGGAAAAACAAACAAAAUUAAUUAGCUUCUUCUUCGGCCAAAACAUGGACGGCCCGUUGUCGCUCUCAACCCGGUAAAAGACUAGCCGUAAAGGAAGAAGAACAUCAAGCAUCUGCGCACAAGCCUGGAUUUUGAAUUCAUUCGUGUGAUUCUCAUGCAGUACGGAUAUUGCGAGGUUGCACACAGCACACCACAUGUGUUAGAAACAUGAAGAGAUUUUCCAGUUUUUUCUUUCUUUAUGUUUCUUUUUUGAGAAAUAUUUCCUUUUUAUUUAUAUAGCCUUUUUUUAAGAAUUUUUUUUAGACAAAGAGAAUUUUUCUUUAUAUAUAUAGCCGUUCCGGUGGUGUAAGCCCCGACAAGCCCAUGAGGCUGUAACAUCGGCCCACUUUCUUCACUAUCAAGAAAUGCCUAACUAGGCAAAUGUAACGGAAAAUGUAGGGACCUAACUAGGCAGCAGAUUGGCGGGGCUUCGCACAGGUUAGGCUUCGUCUGGGCCGGCCCACGCAGGAGCAGCCAGUGGUGGAAAAAUACAACGCAAAAAAGAGCAGCGCUCGCCCAGGACUAGAACUCGCGAUUCAGCGCUAACAGAGACGGUACCUAACCACCUGAGCUGAUCAGCACUACAGUUAAAUAUGCAACGCGAAAUCUUUUAGGACUAAGAAUACCGACAGAUAAAAAAAUCUAUCUUUUCGAACAUUUAAAUAAAAAAUCGAAUCCUUAUAAAAGAAAUUGUGAAUAAUUUUCAAAAUAUACGAACAAUUAUUGAAUGUUUUCCCAAGUUUUGGAUUUGUAACCAAAUUUCAAAAUGGAAAGAAUUUGUCAACAAAUUUUGAAAAAUGGGAACAUUUUUUCAGUUUCAUUUUUUUGAGAAAACAAGAAUAUUUUUUGAAUUUGCAAAUAAAUUUAAAAAGAGGAUUUUUUUCGAAUUUAUGAACAAAAAAAACAUUUUCGACAAAAGGAAACAUUUUUUGCAUCUGUGAACAAAAAAUCAAAACUCUGAACAAAAUUUAGAAAAAGCGAACAUUAUAAUAGUUAAUGGAAUUUGUGAACAAAAAUUGAAAAUCAGAACAUUUUUUGAAGUUAUGAACAAAUUUUGAAAGGCGAACAUUUUUAAAAAUUAAGAACACAUUUUGGAACAGGAUUUUUUAUUGAAUUUAUGAUCAUUUUUUGAAAGAUGAUUAUUUUUUCAAAUAUGCAAACAUUUUUUUAACUGAAUUUCAAAAUUUGUUUGAAAUUUCAAAAUAAUUCUGAAGUUAAAAAAUUGUUCCUUUUUUUUGCGUUUUCGUCAGAUGUUCCAAAAAAUAUGUUCUUGUUUUUAAAAAUUUGUACGAGAAACGCGUGAGAAAACAAACGUGAAGGUUGUAUGAAACAGCGAACACUUUUAGAAAUUGUGAAUAAAAUUUUGAAAAACUCAACAAUUCGAAAAAUGCAAACAAUUUUUGGAAAUGGGAACAUUUUUGUAAAAUAUCCCAAAAAUACAAAACUUGAACGUUUUUUUUGAAAACCCGAAGAUUUUUCAAAUUCGAAAACAAAUUUUGGAUACUCUAACAUUUUUUAAAACUCGGAAUAUAUUUUGAAACUCCCUAACAAAACUUGAACACAUGAACAGUUUUUAAAACUUGUAUACCUUUUUUGAAACUCGCAAACAAAAAUUGAAACAUGAACAUUUUUUGCAAGUUGCGAACAAUUCUUUAAAUGGAAACAUUUAUGAAAACUCGCAACAAAAUUUGAAAACACGAACACUUUUUACAAGUUGCGAACAAUUCUUUAAAUGGAAAAAUUUAUGAAAACUCGCAACAAAAUUUGAAAACACGAAUAUUUUUUUGAAUUUGGUGAACAAAUUUUGAAAUGGGAAGAUUUUUUGAAACUCCCAAACAUAAUUUGAAAACGUGAACAAAAAGAAAAUAAAAAGAGAAGAAAAAGGAAUUGAAAGAUGAAAUAAAGAAACAGAAAAACGAGAAAAGACUAGCAAGAUGCCCAUGCGUUGCACGGAACAUAAAGAUGCAUUUGUAUGAGUAGUUUAUCUUGUGGGAGAAAAGGAUGAACGAGGAAAGGCCUUAUUUGAAAAUGUGGAGAGGGGUGUGGGUAUCUUUUUGCAAAAUUGCCAUAGUUUUCUUCCUAUCCUUCGGAUAUAAAUCGGAUGGCCUAUAUUGCAGGAUGGCAGGCACACCAUCAUCACUAACUCUGUUUUUAUAAGAGUAGAGAAAAAGAAAAAAAACAGAAUAACAACAAAGAAAAAGCAAAUAGAAAAACCUAGUGAAAACCCGGUUCAGGAACCUUCUAGAAGGUUCCCAAAACCAUUCAAGAACCCUCCAGAAGGUUCCCAAAACUGGACGUUGUAGCGCCGCGCUAUCUCCUAACUGGGUCGGCCCAUCUUGAUCGCUAGUCGCUUGCCUCUCUGUGCGAAGCCUCGACAACUCGACGCAGUGAGCGUCCGUUAGGAAAUUCCGAAAAUGUAUGGUAAACGAUUAACUACGCCCGACCGGCCAGGCUUUCGGCCGGUAGCUCUCUCACGCCUCACACUGCACACUAGGCCCUACGUCAUCUCUCUUUCCUUAUCCUUUUUCUCUCUCGAUUCUUCUCCAGAGAGCACCGCACAUCUCACUCCCCUCCCCCCUCGCGGUCCUCUCCAUAGUCGCGCCCAUCCAUGCGCCUCUCUCCUACCACUCAUAUUUACCGGUGGUGUGCCAGAGUCAGACCGUCGUUGGAUUCAAGGUCCUCGCACCCGAGGAGCGAAGGGAUGCUGCAAACGCUCGACCGCCACCACCCCCUGUGUUGUUGAGAGUGUCGUUGUGAGGCCAUGGCGAGUUGCGAGGCGAGCGGUAGGAGGGUUGUAACCAGCAUGGUGACCUGUUGCAACCGGUGUGAUGUCGUGGUGGAAUCGGCCAUCAUUGAUGCUGGAACCAACCAUCGUCGGUGCAACAACCGACGGCCAGUGACCUACAACUGCCAUCGGGCGGUGCUACAGCCGGCGACCAGCGUGCUGGAACCGGCACGGGACGGUACUGCAAACGGCGGUCGGCGAGCUGCAACCGUCAUAGGGCGAUGCUACAACCGGCGGUCGACGAGUUGCAACCGACAGAGGGCGAUGAUACAACAACAAGCUGCAGCAUGCAUGGGGCCAUGCUACAACCGGCAGCCGGCGAGCUGCAACCGAGAUGGGGCGGUGCUACAACCGGAGGCCGGUGGGGCUGCAACCGCCAGUUGCCGUCAAUGCUGGAACAAGCGGCGCAAAAUCUAUAACCAGCGACACAAAAGGCUAGAACCAGCUAGGGCAUUUAUUGUGACAGUGGAGAAUGGGUUGUGUUGUCGCCGCGAUUUUCCUGGAUCGAUGACACAAAAAGUUGCGAUGGGGUGGAUAGGAAGCUGUAAUCGACAAACAACGGCAACACGCGUGACCAAGGACACAACGCUGCAACCUGGAGGCACAAUUUUUUUCCUCGACCCGGCAAUGGGAUGCACUGUGAUGCGACAGCAAGGGAUGCUAGAGACAAACGAGGGCGACGGCGACAGGGGGGUGCGAGCUGCUACCGGCGGGGCGUCAGGGGUGCUAGCAUGAGGAAGGAGACGAAUUUGUGGGGAGAUCUAACAAUGUGAGGCACUUGAAUUGGGUAGCCGCGCGGCGAACGGACGAAAAUUAUACAGUUGGCUCCACUAAAACGGAUCCACCACUUUGAAAUCUAAUAAAGAGAGGCCAUAUGAGAGCAUGCGUGAUCCAAUGAUAAUAAUAUUCUUUUUACCAAUGUAAAGCAGAGCAAAAGCUUGAAGAUAAACAUUUGGCCAGCUAGGCGACAUGCUUUUAUUUGGAAGGUUGUGCAUAUUUCUCAUGAUAAACUUGAGAAAAGAAAGAUAUACACUCUAAAAGAUAUAGAUUCGAGCUGUAACUGUCUCUAUAUAGGAACUCUUAGUGUCCUCUUUUUAAAAGUUUGCAACUGAAUGCUAUGAGACAAUCUACACCACUUCCCAAACGGCACGUAAAGCGAAAAGUGGGUGACGUGAAAUGCAUGCAGCAAUGGCCUAGGAAAUUUUUCUAACAAACAUGUUAUUAAAAGUCCUAUUUUGCCCCUAUGUCUCCUUUUAAAGCCUGUGGAGAAAGACACCUCAACGCACACAAAGUCACCAAAUAUAGCACAAGUUUUCCUUGGAGGUUCUUAUCUAGGAGUAGAAACUAGUGAGCGACUAGAGAUGUCACUCUUAUCAUCACCACCACCACCAUUGUUGGUUACACCAUAUAGGUCAACAGGAGGCGGUGAUUCGGCCGUUUCAAUCGAUCCUUACGUACCAUUGAUCGUGACUUUGAUCAUCAUUGCAGCCCUCAUGGUUGCCUCUUUGGUUUUUGCAAAUUUAUGUGUUAAGCGUUGGGCAUUCUUCAACAGUUCAUAUGCUACACAGUCGUUCGUGAAGCAAGAAUGUGGCAUGUGCACUCGUGAGGGCACCAUUGAUGUUGCUUAUCCUGUGAAGAAGAGUAAUGUGGAGAAUGUGGCUUCAGAGGAGUUGGUGGAGUCAGAUCCACCACAAAACGAAGAGGAUGACGAGGAUGGUUCUUCCGGAGAAGGUUUUUAAGACAUCAAUCUAUCUAUGUUUUACUUAUCUAGAAUUUUCUAGAUAUUAUGUUAUGUUCUCUCAAUGCUUUGUUCAAAGAGAUUUGGAUGUGUUAUGUAAGCUUGAUCCUAGUGAUCCAAAGGAUAAUAAAUAAUAUGCACCUCUUAGAUUGCUGUUAUGUAUAUACAGAUCUCACUAUUGUUUAGGUUUUGGUGUUUUUCAGCUCUUGUAGUUUUAGUUCAUGUAUUGGUUGGUUCAUUAUUCGGUGUGAGCUUCGCGCCAUUUUUUCACGCUUGCCGUGAGACUUGAACAACCAAACAAACACUAGAAAUAAGUUUGAAUCGUUCAUGCACAUAAACCUUACCAAAAAAUUAUUGCUCUUGCAUUUUAAUCUGCACAUCCUUCAAAAUUAGAGAUCUUUCUAAUUGGCACUAUGUAAGCAACACAUUUUGGCACUUUGCACUCAUUUGUAUGUAUUGAAAUUUUGGCACCCAUUUAGCAACUCUUAGCUUGCUUGUACCGUGCUAAAAAGCUAGCAUUUCACUAAUUUAUGCCACUUUUCCUGAAAAAAUAUGUCACUUAAUCUGUACAUUUCUACUGCAUUGUUCAUGCAUGUGAACAUGUAAUUUUUUGGCAGUUAUAGAUUCUCUCGUUGUUUUUGGCAAGUGCCGAUGCGUGAACCUUUAUUCGCCACUUGACACAAGACGAACAUAUAUCAUGCAAAACAGCAAUCAGAGUAUAUAACCCGCAUACUCAUGUGAGUUAAGAUACGGACGACAAAAAAGCACAGUUUUCACAUAAAGAAACGAGAAAAUUUUAGGAUUAUCUCCAUCACUAUUAUCUCUUGUAAGGUAAGAGCAUCUACAGCCGGCCUCCUCAAAUCCUCCUUAAACAUUCGCGGACGCGUCUAGUCAGUGACCGGAUAGAAGAGAGAAGAAAAAAAUAUGACCCAACCGGACCUCUCAUAUCAUUCCUAUACGUCUGGGUUAUCCGCAAAUCUUCAUAUUGAGAAAACUGUAAGGAGGAUAUGAGGAUUCGCGGAAGCGCUUGGUCAGUCCGCCAUGUAGGACGUGAUCCACCCCGGACAACCUUUUCAUUUUCUUUAUUCAUUCUUCUCCCUCUCCCUCUCUCUCUCUCUCUCUCUCUCUCUCUCUCUCUCUCUCUCUUCAUCUUCACCAAUCACGUGCAAUUCUUCUCUCUCUCUCUCUUCAUCUUCACCAAUCACGUGCAAGUAACCGGACAUAUAAGGGGGGAAAUGAGGAGUAUGGCUGCAUGGACGGACAAAUAUAAGGGCUCAAAAUGGACUCACUCGGUUUCUGAUAGGGCGUGUCCGCGGGCAUUUAGGGGCCAACUUUGCUAAGUCCGACUUUAGAUGCUCUAACAUACGGACGACAAAUCUGUAGGGUUAAUAUGGACUUUUACCUUUAUACAAAUAAGCAAACAAAUUAUUAUGCAUAGUGCCAACAUUUCCAUGUUAUGUCUUAUUUUCAUCACACAAAGUAUAUAACCUGCAUACUCAUGUGAGUCAAAACGCAAUUUAGUUAAUUUUGAACUUUUGGAUCAUUGUAUAAUUUCAGACACAAUUUCGGAUUUUUAGGGGAUCAUAUAGUUUUCUUACAGGAGUAAGAGUGAAAUUAAUAGAAGUGUGACAUGAUAGUAUGAAUUAAAUAUGUUUUUUUAUAGUUUGGAUUGCUUACCACAUGUGUCACGUGGUAAUAUGUAUUCUGUAAUAAUGAUACAAAAUUAGUGCAAAGGUCGUAUCUAUUAAAAGAAUGAUGAAUAGAAAAAGGAAAAAUGGUAUCCACUAAUAAGGCAUGCCUAUUAUAUAUGUAAGCUCAAACCCCUCUCCCUGCUCUCGUUCGCCGCCGCUACCGCUGGCCUUCACCGCGAGGGCGGCGGGCCCCGCUGCUGAAGGUGACGGGGUGCUCUCUCUCCCUCUCGCAGGGCGGCGUUGGAGGCCAGUCCCCGUUGACUGGGAUCGCGGCGGCUGGCAACCAGCGUGAGGAGGCCGGAGCGGCGGCCCCGGGACGAGCUGGCCGGCGCGCAACAGGUCGGGUGGUCCGCGCUCGAUAGCCGGCGAUGGCUUCGGCCAAAGGGGUGGAGCGGCCUCGCCGGAUCUGGGUUCUGGCUCCUGGAUUCGUGCUCAGGACGGUGGUGCUACGCGGCGGUGGCCGCGAGCAGCCAGUGGCUGGCCUCCAUCGUGGUGCGUAGGUGUGCUGGUAGGGCGUGGCGGCCAUUGUUCUGGCUGGGUGCGCACCGGCGUCGGCUGCGGACUCGGGGCGGCUCGGGCGAGGAGCGGUGGUUCAGGCGGAGGCGGCGACUCGAGGAGGUCAUCCCUCCCGUCUGGUUUGGCUUGGCCUACCAUGGCCGUGGCUGGAAGUUGGAGGAAGCUGCCGCUCCGUGGAGGAGCUGGUUGGUGGUGGGAUGGAUGUGUGUUUCUCGUGGCGGUGUAUGUGGAGUUGACCUUGGCCGAGGUGGGACUGGCCAGGGCGCUCGAGAUUGUGGAGGCUGCUAGGCUGAUGUGCUGUGUGAUGCGACGCCUCCGGUCGUGGUGGUCGGCCCGAUUGAGUAGCUCCGGAAGUUUNNNNNNNNNNNNNNNNNNNNNNNNNNNNNNNNNNNNNNNNNNNNNNNNNNNNNNNNNNNNNNNNNNNNNNNNNNNNNNNNNNNNNNNNNNNNNNNNNNNNNNNNNNNNNNNNNNNNNNNNNNNNNNNNNNNNNNNNNNNNNNNNNNNNNNNNNNNNNNNNNNNNNNNNNNNNNNNNNNNNNNNNNNNNNNNNNNNNNNNNNNNNNNNNNNNNNNNNNNNNNNNNNNNNNNNNNNNNNNNNNNNNNNNNNNNNNNNNNNNNNNNNNNNNNNNNNNNNNNNNNNNNNNNNNNNNNNNNNNNNNNNNNNNNNNNNUUUUUUUAUAUCUUGGGAUGGGAGAAAUCCCCGCUUCACGACGCCGAGGCUAGCAAUGGCGACGUCUGUGGACGCCGUCCCCUCUUGGGAGGCGUUGCUUUGGCCCGAUCCGACUCCCUUCCUCGUGCUCCGAGGAAACCCUUGGUCCGUCCUUUGGACCAGACGGCGGCGGUGUCAUGGCGUCGUUCCCUCUUUGGAGGCGUCGUCUUGUUGCUCGAGGAGUUCCGGUGGCACGGCUCAAUUCGGCAUCGGCUUCUACUAUGGGUGUGGGCCUCCAUGGCGCAAUGUACACCAUCACGGGCGCUCUCUCGAUAAUGCCGUCUCUAGGUCUACCAAGGCCUUGCCGUCCACUUGCCAAAUUCUUCUUGGCACAAUGGGUGGGGUAUGUUGGUCUGUGUUGGCCUCGAGUUUUGGUCUUGUUGCAAAAGUCUCCGGCGUCGGUUGUGACACGGCUUGGUUGCUCUGUGGUUUGCCCCAUCGCCAUCAACAUGAGGUUGACAUAGGUGAAGCAUGUAUCGUAGUACCCGUGGUGGGUGUGUUUGGUGGAUGUGGAUGCUAAUUCUUAUGAUUGGCGUUGUAAUGUCCGAAAGACGUUCUAUCCGGCUUCUUUGUCGCUUCUUCUUUAAUAUAUGAUACACAUGCUCAUGUGUAUUCGAGAAAAAAAUAUGUAAGCCAUAUUUGGUAUAAAAAAAAGGCGAGUGCUAGGCGCCGGUGCGCCGGCCCAAAUUUGGGCCGGUCGCACCCUGCGCGUCGGAUCCUGCUCGUCCAGCCGUUCGAUCUGAUUCCUUCUUCGUCCCCACCUUCUCGACCCCACGUUCGUUUCUUCUGUCUCCAAAUCACAGCGACGCUGCACACCUCGCCCUGUCCGCCUCAAGCCGUCGUAGCACCCCGCCGGGCCUGCUCAGGUAGCCUCUGCUCACAUCCUCGCCGGCGACAUCGAAGCCCCUGUUCGUUGCAGCUUUCCCCUCCAAUUUCUUACGAACAAUGAAGAAAAAAAGAUUGGUGGUAGCAAAAAAACUCAUGGGUCGUAGCAAAAAUCGAUGACGCUUGCAGCAAAAAGUUCUCACCAAUUUCUCACGAAGGAUGAAGAAGAAAAGAUGUUGGUAGCAAAAAUCAUUGGUGAUUGUAGCAAAAAAACUCGUUGGUCGUAUCAAAAAUCAUUGGUGAUUGUAGCAAAAAUCAUUGAUGAUUGUAGCAAAAAAGACCUCACAAAAUUCUCACGAACAAUGAGGAAAAGGAAGGUGGUAGCAAAUAAACUAGCCGGUCGUAGCAAAAUCUGAUGACGGUUGCAGCAAAAAAGACCUGCCAAUUUCUCAUGAACAAUGAAGAAAAAAGAUGAUGGUAGCAAAAAAACUCGCCGGUCGUAGCAAAAAUUGAUGCCCGUUCCAGCACCCGCGGUGGCCGGUUCCAGCGUCGUGAGCGCUGGUUGCAGCUAUUUCGCCGAGCAGCAGCCCGGUUCCAGCACCCCGCGGCGCGGUCGCCACCGUUGGAGCACGCGAGGCUGCGGUCCUUCCUCCGUCUCGUGUGCCCAGCCGGUCUUGUGGCAGCUCGUGGUUCCAUGGCGGAUGGAUUGGGAGGAAACAGAAGUGCGCCGGAGCAUCGGAGAAAGGGCGGUGGCUGGAGGCGUGCAUGAGCUUGAUUUGGCCAUGGCAGAGCGGGCGCUGAGAUGAGAUGUAGAGAGGGACCAUGGUGGGUCAACGCUUGGGGAAAAGUAACGAGUGGCUGUGCUUGCUCGAGAGAAGAGAUAAGAAGGGGAGGGGGCGGUGCGUGCUUGAGGUAGGUGCCUCCUCGUGCGUGCGAUAUUGCCAGAUCGUACGCGACCGGCUCGAUGUUCGGCCGGCGCGCCGAGCGCAAACAUUUCCCAUAAAAAAAUGCCAUCCAAUAAACAUAUUCAUGAAUUUCCUUUAAACAUAGUGAAAAGAGAUGUUGAAAAUCAUUUAAACAUUCAUUUUUUGACAAAUAGUUGCUUUAAUUGGAUUAUUAUGCUGAUCAAAUGUAUGCUUAAUGAAUGGAAUGUUCAGAUUGAGUAUUUCUCUUGAGAUGGACCAUCUUAAAACUGCUCUAACAAAACACUCCAUUGGUCAACUGCCUUUUUACAAAAAGAAAAUAUGGUAUCCAUAUGAUGUUGAAAUUUCUCGUAUGCGCAAAGCAAAAACAUGUACGUCAACGAUGCAAUAGAGAGAAAAUGAGAUCUUGCAAAACUGUACGAUCUAUCUAGUUUUGAUUAUGUUCCAUUAACCCAGCUCAUCUGGAUAUAUACUUUGCGACAAGACACAUUUUUGGAACUACGAAAGGUAGAGUUCGAUUUUCACUGAAAUUAAACAUAGGUCCUUAUAUAUCUUCACACAAAACCAGAGUAUUUUGCUCUCAUAUAGAUAUCUUUUCAUUUGUUUAAGAAAAUUUGUUGGAAAACCGUGAUGGAGAUAAUGUAAUUUGAGGUUCGAAACAACUCUGCGUACAAUGAUCCACACCAGACAGUGAACCUCACAGUGAAUAGAUGCUGCAUGCUAUGACCAACAAACCGAGUCAUCUCUAAUCGUACAAGUGUAGGACGGAAUUUGUCGUAUGCAUAGCAUUGUUGUUUUCCGGUUAUCUUGUCCUCAUGGGAUGCUAGUGCAGGUUAUCUUGUCCUCCAGGGAUACUAGUAUGGCAGCUUUUAACUGGACAAUAAAUUACUCAAAACCUCCAUAAUCAAGCAAGGUCUAAUAUAUACCAUUGGUUUGCACUUUUGACAUAAUGAGACCUGCAAAUCAUGGCUGAGGGAAAGUAUCAGGUGCUCCAAACACUCAUAUGCUCCCCCGCUCCAAUGUUCGAAAGCUCAAUUUUGAAUGUUCCAAAAAGAAUUCAAAUCUUUUUGUGGACGUUCACAAGACAUAGGUCUACAUCUUUACAAAGCUCAAAUUCAAAAUUGAAAUACACAUAGAUAAAAAAGACAAAUCCAACAUGAAUAGUGUCACAAAAGGACAAAAGCAAAAAAACACUAUUCACAUCUAGAUUUUUUGUUUCUCAAUGUCUUGAGAACAUUCACUUUUUUCUUAAUUUUUUUGUCUCAUCUAAAUUUGAUUUUUUUUUGUCUCUUGAUGUCUUGAGAACAUUCACUUUUUUCUUAAAAUUUUUGACACAUCUAAAUUUGAUUUUUGUUAACAUGGGAGCAUAUGAAAGUUGGGAGCACUAGAUAUUCUCCCUCAUGAUUGGCAUGGCAUAUCUUUUGUGGACAACACACUCAAAUGGUCUCUCUCUCUCUCUCUCUCUCUCUCUCACACACACACACACACACACAUUUCCACUAGCACCCUAAUCCCCCUUUUGUCUAUGUUGGUGUCGGUUUCCCCGCCCAUGCCCCUUACACAAUGUUAUGUGUCCCUAUAUGGGUCCUAGGGGAUCUUAUAAAACAUUAAUUCCUACUGUACUAGAGAAGCACUCGGAGUAGAUAAGAAAGGAGUCCAAUGGAAUCCGAAGAACAUACUCAUUGAAGGAGCUUUUCUUUUGGGACAAGACCGUAUGAGAGCACAACUCGGAGAGAGUUAAGUAUUGACGUCCAAGGAACAAUGUAUAUACAUGUGAAUUUAAGUCCACGACACAGGGGGAGCGAUAUCGCCAGAUCUACAUACAAGACAUGCAUCAUCUCGAGGAGUACUCUCCCGCGAGCUACUUUAUAUCACAUUUAAUUGAAUAACCCCAAUGGGGCCUGGACCUAGGUAUAUUAUGUUCUAUGUCUCUCCGAUCUCAUUGAAAUUAACCAAUAAGGCCCUUGUAUGCCCUACACAUCCUUUUGGAUAGGUAUAUGAUACGUCUCCAACAUAUCUAUAAUUUAUGAAGUAUUCAUGCCAUGUUUACAACAAUUUUAUAAGAAUUUGGAAUGAUUUGAAUGGAACUAAUCCAGACUGACACUGUUUUCAGCAGAACUGUCAUGGUGUUAUUUUUUGUGCAGAAAUAGAAGUUCUCGGAAUGGGCUGAAAAUUUACGGUGAUUUUUUGUGGACCAAAAGAGACCCCCGAAGCUUCGAGGAAGGACCAGAAGCCUCACGAGGAAGCGACAAGCUUGCAGGGGCGCCCUCCCCCCAGGGCGCGCGGAGCAGGCUUGUCGCUCCCUCGUGGGCCCCCUUGACGUGAAACCAACGCAAAGAAUUCCUAUAAAUACCAAAAACCCUAGAAAGAAACCUAGAACUUCCGCUCUGCCGCCCCAAGCCUCUGUACCGAAGCGAUCCCAUCUAGAGGCCUUCUCUGGCACCCUGCCGGAGGGGGAAACCAUCACCGGGGGCCUGAUAACCCACAAGUAUAGGGGAUCGCAACAGUUUUCGAGGGUAGAGUAUUCAACCCAAAUUUAUUGAUUCGACACAAGGGGAGCCAAAGAAUAUUCUCAAGUAUUAGCAGUUGAGUUGUCAAUUCAACCACACCUGAAAGAUUUAAUAUCUGCAGUAAAGUAGUAUGGAAGUAACGGUAACGGUGUCAAAAGUAACAGUAGUAGUUUUUGUAGCAAUCGUAACAGUGGCAACGGAAAAGUAACGAAGAAAAGAUCAAUAUGUGAAAAACUCGUAGGCAAUGGAUCAAUGAUGGAUAAUUAUGUCAGAUGCGAUUCCUCAUGCAACAGUUAUAACAUAGGGUGACACAGAACUAGCUCCAGUUCAUCAAUGUAAUGUAGGCAUGUAUUCCGAAUAUAGUCAUACGUGCUUAUGGGUAAGAACUUGCAUGACAUCUUUUGUCCUACCCUCCCGUGGCAGCGGGGUCCUAUUGGAAACUAAGGGAUAUUAAGGCCUCCUUUUAAUAGAGUACCAGACCAAAGCAUU